rnacentral:rRNA from 1 species
AGAGUUUGAUCCUGGCUCAGAUUGAACGCUGGCGGCAUGCUUUACACAUGCAAGUCGAGCGGCAGCGCGGGGGCAACCCUGGCGGCGAGCGGCGAACGGGUGAGUAAUGCAUCGGAACGUACCCUGGAGUGGGGGAUAACGCCGCGAAAGCGGCGCUAAUACCGCAUAUGCUCUGAGGAGGAAAGUGGGGGACCGCAAGGCCUCACGCUCUGGGAGCGGCCGAUGUCCGAUUAGCUAGUUGGUGGGUAAAGGCUUACCAAGGCGACGAUCGGUAGCUGGUCUGAGAGGAUGAUCAGCCACACUGGGACUGAGACACGGCCCAGACUCCUACGGGAGGCAGCAGUGGGGAAUUUUGGACAAUGGGGCAACCCUGAUCCAGCCAUGCCGCGUGAGUGAAGAAGGCCUUCGGGUUGUAAAGCUCUUUUGGUCGGGAAGAAAGCGCCUUGCCUAAUACGCGAGGUGGUUGACGGUACCGGCAGAAUAAGCACCGGCUAACUACGUG